UGUGUCCGGGGCCGCGGGUCCCUCAGCCGCCGCCACCGCCGCCGCCGCCGCCGCGAUCCGGGACAACCAGAGUCACCCGGAAGACACGGACACUGGAUUACCAGGCCCUCGGAUCCGGAUUCCGCGCGUGUGUGGAGUCAGGAGCGGGAAACUCCAGUAUGAUUAUGAAAGCCCUCAAGUGAGACCAGCUCAGGUGAAGAGGAUUAUGCUUAACAAGCAAGAACAAACCCACACCUUUCUACAAUCCUUAGUACAGCAUUAUACAAUCUAUUGCCUGCCAUCUCUGAUUUCCUUUAGUGGGAACAACUUCAUUGAAAAAAAAAAAAGGAUACCUGAAAUCCUCCCAGAAGAAUCAGAACUGACUGUUCUUUUAUCACAAACAACCAAGAAUCAGGAGAUUCAGAGAUCUCCUUGGGGAACAUCAGGUACCCACAAGGUUCAACUCAUGUGAAGCACUGGAACACUUAAGAAAAAUAAAACAUCUGUGGAAAUUCUGCCAGAAACAGUACACAUAGCCCUUCUCUCGCUAAACGGAAGGAAGAUGAUUCAUUCUGAAAGAUUAAUGCUUUGAACGCUGUCAAUGAUUUUACCACUAAACAAACAUAUACAAAGAUUAAAAGUCUCUUUUAACAAAGAAAAAGCCAAAGAAAGAAGGAAGUGAAAGAAGAUGAACGUCAAUGACUUCUCUCCACAAAGUAAAAGUGAAAGAAGAACACACGGCUCUUACCUUUCCCACGAAGAAGACGAUAUGUAGCCUGGAGUUCUGAGACUUCUUGAGGGGAGGGUUUUUUAGCUGUGGCUGCUAUCCAAAGUCGUCCUCUGUGGGGGGUGUACCAGGAUCUGCCCUCCACCCUUAAACAAAUAAAAAUUUAGUGGAAAGGA